rnacentral:lncRNA from 1 species
CCUAGCUCACUAGAAACAUCAGGAAGCCAAAUGGAUCACUACCACUUCUGCCAUCAGCUAACUGCAGGACCAGCAGCUUUUUUGGGUGCUGCACCUGCCUCCCACACACUCCUGCCGGGUUUGUUUGCUUGGGAGGACCGGAGCAGAAUUCGGUUCAGCUCAAAGAACUGUGCUAGAUCUUGGUUUCAAAUGUCAUUUUCCAGUAAAAGAAGCGAAGUCUCCUUGGGAAAAUGGCUAGUUCUGAAGCUGGGGCAGGGAAGAUACAGGCUGAACCUGGAGCAUCUUGCAGUACGAGAAAAAAGCACUAGCUGGGCAGGAGAAGGGAUGCAAAGACAAGACAGUCACUGCCUUCGACCUUCAGCCUGCCUAUGUGAGGGAGGCGCAACUUGGGAUUUACCACAAGCCAGGAGUUCCACACCUAAUGAAUAGACCAAACCCAGCCCAUUGUCAACAGAGAAGAGUCCAUCUCAAACAUAAAAGAUUUUAAAUCAAAAUGGAUGUUAGAGGAGCAUGAUUCCUGGCAUUGUUGGGCAGCCAGCAUUGUCUCUAGCAGCUGACAGGAUCCCAGCUUCACCUUCACACGCAGGCCUCAGGCAGUUCCAGGCACCCCUUCAUGCCAGCAAAACGGAUAAACAAUUCUACUUUAAAUCUUUACACCACAUCAUGUCGGAGAAGAGAACAUAUUUCUUCUAAUAGCUGUCACAGAACAGAAAGAAAGCUUCUCUUUUCAAAAAAAUGUUUUCUUGUCCUUUGCUGUAAUCGAGCAAUGUGGCCAGUAAGGACUUACCCCUGCAGGUGGGAUUAGGUCAGUCCCACCCAACCUAUGACUCAAGAGUAAGGCAGUGGACAGGUCCCCAGGGGAAGAUGAGAGUAGGAAAUGAAUAAGCGAUGGAAGAUGUUCACUACAAGUCUCUACAAGAUGACAAGUGCCACACUGCACUGUGGGGAUAUAAUCCUCAAAGUCUUAAUUCCUGCCCUCCAGGAGCUCACAGCCUAGAGGAGGAGACAGACAGUUAUAACAGCACAAGGAGAGAAACAUGUCCAUGAGAGUAUAGAGGACGGUUACCC